AGUAGCAUAUACGUACUUACCCAGUAACCAUGUUUCCUGUGAAACAAUGUUUCUUCAAAAGUUGAUUGUUGAUACUGGUGCAUGUACAACCAAGAGUAAAAAAAGGCAGAACCCCAACUCUGCCUAUGCUUAGAUCUAUAAAUGAUAGCCAUUGUGUCAUAAACAGUCUGUGCAGGAACUACUGAGAAGGUCAGGCUGUUGUUUUGCGUAAUUAACCAUCCAACAGUCUUUCAACAGGAACUGUCAUCUGGGCUUUACGUUCAGUUCGCUUGAGGUGUAGGAAACCAGCCCGCUCUCCCAACAAACCUCUCCUAUACGUUCAGUGCUAAGAAAAGGUCAGGUUUACUUCUUGCCGAAACAUUUAGUGGUCUUUUUGCUUUGCCACCAGGAAGGGUGUUUGGUGAGGGACUGUCAAAACUGUUAGGGUCUUUGCCGAGAGAAAGGUGUGCAACCUUUAGUGUCCCUCGACUGAGGAGCGUUGCCUACCUCACCCAAACAUCACCUUAAAGGCCAUAUAUUCUGUUUACUCUCCUGUAUCCUUUAGUUCUUUCUCCCAGGGUUUAAAGAGCAGCUCUCUGACUUGAAUAUCUAUCACCUCAUUGAACUGAGAACUGUGUCGGGCAACAAAGCUAGAUGCCAAAGGAUAGUUUGAGGGGAUAUUAAAUCAAAAACUUAAUGAGUGAUCAAGCAAGUCGGAACUUUGGUCACAAAUUAGACUCUUUAAAGACAUUUAUGGGUCAAUUUUGAAACACAAGUUUUCAUGACAGCUUGAUUUCUUUUGGAAAUGUCCUGUAACAAAGGACAAAUAUAAUUAGUAGUGUUUUGCAUGAUUUUAUCGAUCUUCAGAUAUUUGGAAUAUCCACAAGGUAUUAAUUACCGCUCCACUCCAUCAGCUGGUGCCGUAUCGCCAAAACUCACUCAAGUGGGACACAUUUAAAGCGAUAGCCUCUUUGCCAUAAAACAUGAAUGAAUAUCCGGGGUGGCCUCAGCUUCGAACAAUACCCCGAGCCAAUGCCUUCGGCGAAACGUUUCUACGGUUCAUUUCUGUACAACAACCCUCCAGCCAAGAGCCGUUCUCUUUUCAAGUGUGCAACACAAAGUGGAAAUGUUGAAUACAGAAAGGAAGGAGGACUGCACAACCACAGAUAUGUGAAUCAAAGAUAUGUUGGCAUCAGGGGAAGGGAAUACACUCACCUUAAUCAAGACAAGUAACCAUAUUUUAUUUAUCAGCUAUUUAUUAUUGAGUAUAUAUCAUCCAUUAAAAAUUUACAGAGUAUUGCCUACUUCUUUCUUCGCCCUAAGUUAGGUCUCAGUGCACAAUACCUACAGGGUAUUCUCGUAUUCUUUUUUUUCUUUUCGCAAAUAUCACUGCUAACAUUAACUCAAAACUUUUCUAAACUACCUCAAGAGUUUAUGUUCCAUAAUUCUAACAUAAAUCCUUGAAGAUUAAAAACAGGCCGCCAAGCACUAGUGGCAGUUCAGGGUCACUUGGUGUCCUAUGCGAGAUAAAAUAUGACCAAAGAGAAAUUUCUUAUUUUUAAAGUCUUCUAGUACUGUUUCUCUUCGUUAAGAGUGCAAGGGGACUUGGGUUCAAAUCGCCUAUAAAAAAAGAAUAAUUAAAAAAAACUAUAUAAAUAGCCAAAUACUGUUUUGAUUAUUUUUAUUUUAUUUUAUUUUUUUAAUCCAGUUGCCUGAAAAAAAAUCUAAGGGGGCCCAUGCCAAUUCUUUCAAAUUAAAUGUGAUUUUCAGCACAAUUAGCUAGUAAAUUGGCAAAUGAAAGCUUGACAGAUGGUCAAGGUCUACUCAAUACAGCCUCAUGCCAUUAAUUUCAAAUAAGGUAUGUACACAUUGAAGACAAAUCACCCAAAUUAACAUUAUGAUUUAAGUUUGUGUGUUCUAGGUCAAGUCAGUCUGCUGUUUUAAGUGUCUGACACUGACAGCAUGCCGUCGAGAAAGACCCCCUUGAAAACCAGAGCAAAUGAACAAACAGCCCAGUUGGCCAGCCGAGCUGCCUGAGAGACAUUUUAAUUAAAACUGUGACAGUGUAUCAUAAAAAGCAGGAAUCUAAUCAUGAUGGAAUAAGUAUAAUAGCUUUGCGCCACCUUCAGUUAGUGCCAAGAGACAGAAGCCAGAUCCAGAUUCUCCUCUACAGUCUCAUGUCUGUCCAUUCAUCCAUCAAACCCUUCUCACUCGAUUUCUCACGCCCUUCUUCAAUGGAACAGCACCUCUAGGGCGCCUAAGGCCUUUGCAGAUGUUUCCCUGAUGGAGUAAAUUUGUGUACUUGUGAUUUUAUUUGUUAUUUUAAUCUCAUGUAAUUUGAACAUGCUUUCUUACACAAUAAAUGUCCUGCUGUUUUUUCGGGCUAA